rnacentral:rRNA from 2 species
GCUCAGGACGAACGCUGGCGGCGUGCUUAACACAUGCAAGUCGAACGAUGACGGUGGUGCUUGCACCGCCUGAUUAGUGGCGAACGGGUGAGUAACACGUGAGUAACCUGCCCUCCACUUCGGGAUAACCUCGGGAAAUCGUGGCUAAUACCGGAUAUGAGCACUCAUCGCAUGGUGAGUGCUGGAAAGAUUUAUCGGUGGGGGAUGGACUCGCGGCCUAUCAGUUUGUUGGUGAGGUGAUGGCUCACCAAGACGAUGACGGGUAGCCGGCCUGAGAGGGCGACCGGCCACACUGGGACUGAGACACGGCCCAGACUCCUACGGGAGGCAGCAGUGGGGAAUAUUGCACAAUGGGCGAAAGCCUGAUGCAGCGACGCCGCGUGGGGGAUGACGGCCUUCGGGUUGUAAACCCCUUUCAGUAGGGAAGAAGCGAGAGUGACGGUACCUGCAGAAGAAGCGCCGGCUAACUACGUGCCAGCAGCCGCGGUAAUACGUAGGGCGCAAGCGUUGUCCGGAAUUAUUGGGCGUAAAGAGCUUGUAGGUGGCUUGUCGCGUCUGCCGUGAAAACCCGAGGCUCAACCUCGGGCGUGCGGUGGGUACGGGCAGGCUAGAGUGUGGUAGGGGAGACUGGAACUCCUGGUGUAGCGGUGAAAUGCGCAGAUAUCAGGAAGAACACCGAUGGCGAAGGCAGGUCUCUGGGCCAUUACUGACACUGAGAAGCG